rnacentral:rRNA from 1 species
GAUGAACGCUGGCGGUCUGCUUAACACAUGCAAGUCGAACGAACUCUUCGGAGUGAGUGGCGGACGGGUGAGUAACGCGUGAGAAUCUGCCUGUGGGUCGGGGACAACCACUGGAAACGGUGGCUAAUACCGGAUGAGCCGAAAGGUAAAAGAUUUAUUGCCCACAGAUGAGCUCGCGUCUGAUUAGCUAGUUGGUAAGGUAAAAGCGUACCAAGGCGACGAUCAGUAGCUGGUCUGAGAGGAUGAGCAGCCACACUGGGACUGAGACACGGCCCAGACUCCUACGGGAGGCAGCAGUGGGAAUUUUCCGCAAUGGGCGAAAGCCUGACGGAGCAAUACCGCGUGCGGGAGGACGCUUUUUGGAGUGUAAACCGCUUUUCUCAAGGAAGAUGAUGACGGUACUUGAGGAAUCAGCAUCGGCUAACUUCGUGCCAGCCAGCCGCGGUAA